rnacentral:misc_RNA from 1 species
UACAGAGGUCCCAAGCGUUGUUCGGAUUCACUGGGCGUAAAGGGUGCGUAGGUGGUUAGGUAAGUCUGAUGUGAAAUCUCCGAGCUCAACUCGGAAAUGGCAUUGGAUACUAUCUAGCUUGAGGAUUGGAGGGGGGACUGGAAUACUUGGUGUAGCAGUGAAAUGCGUAGAUAUCAAGUGGAACACCAGUGGCGAAGGCGAGUCCCUGGACAAUUCCUGACGCUGAUGCACGAAAGCUAGGGGAGCAAACAGG